CAGGAUUACCAGAGUGCCCAUUGUCUCCCUGAAAGAAAAAGAAAACAUACAGGGGGCACAUUAAACAGCUGUGUAUGUGUCUAAUUAUCUUGAUGCACGUGCGCACUCACUCGUGCUUCAACUCAACUUUCAAGUCCACAAGGCUUCAUUCCUUGAGCUCAUUUGAAUCAAAGUCCAACCUUUUCUCCUGGUACACCAACUGGUCCUGGAUCUCCCUGCACGCCUACUUCACCCUGAAAAAAUGAUGACUUACCGUUGGUCCUGCUCUGCCUUCAAGACCUCGUGGUCCACGUUCUCCUCUCAUGGCAAACUAAACAAACCGACA